rnacentral:rRNA from 1 species
UACGUAGGGUGCAAGCGUUAAUCGGAAUUACUGGGCGUAAAGCGUGCGCAGGCGGUUAUGUAAGACAGGUGUGAAAUCCCCGGGCUUAACCUGGGAAUUGCAUUUGUGACUGCACGGCUAGAGUGUGUCAGAGGGGGGUAGAAUUCCACGUGUAGCAGUGAAAUGCGUAGAUAUGUGGAGGAAUACCGAUGGCGAAGGCAGCCCCCUGGGAUAACACUGACGCUCAUGCACGAAAGCGUGGGGAGCAAACAGG